GACCUGGAGGUACCCACGACGGCCUUGCGCUACUCCGUUCCCUCGCUCCAGGCUUUCCCUCGAGCGCCUCGCGGGAAAGAAGCUCUCUCAGCGCGGCCAACGCGAAGACGAGUACGAGGAUUCCGAAACGCGGAGCCGCCGGCUCUCACCGAUUCUUCGGGUGAAGAGGUCCUCUCGCGGAAGAGAGCUCUCUUCAAUGUGCUCCAUUCGAUGUUGCGCUGGAAAUGAAAACGGCAGUUUGACAGGCGUUGCCUAAGCAAACUUGCGGCGGGAUCUCCGAGCAGUGAGAGAACGAUUCAAGAGGAGAUCCAUUCGGGCGCGGUGAACCUGGACGUGAAUAUAAAUUCUCCAGAACGAAGAGCGAUCGACCCCUCGAGCUUCUAUUGUCGUCGAGUUUGAGAAGCUGGACGUGUCCCGAUCGUCCCCGGGAAUCUUCGCGAUCCUCGAGAGGGAAGUUUUAGCGGAGUCGAGAGGAUCUUGCGCCAUCGAUAACGAGAAUCGUUCGCGACGCGACAGCCCGGGCUACCACCUUCAGGCUCUCUCGCCGGUGCCGAAAAUUAUCUGCCGAUGAUUUCCCGAGUGGUACGUAACUGGACGGAAAUUCUGAGAUGGUCACAGCACUUCGAGACGGAGCGUGCGGAUAAGGACAUUUGAUAGAGACGAGCGCGAACGUGUUGUCCUCUACGCCAAGUGGUCACGUCGGUGCUACCACGAGGGAGGACGAGCGAGCGGAUAAAAGAAGACUUCGGACCUGGCAGCCGACGUGUCGCGAGAGGGAAAUCCAUCUGGCAGCUAGCAUGACAAUGGUCGUCAACAAGAUCAACAUGUCAUCGUAUUCCGUGCCGCGGCGCACCUUCUUCUCGGGUCUUCACACGAAGAUGUCGGAGUUCCCGGUGGAGGGAGGCGAAAACGGGGACAUGCAGACCGUCAUGGAGAACUUCCAGAAGAAGAAUAAUCACUUGGUGACCGGCAGAACGCACCACGUCAGCCAUCAUCCGCAGGUCACCACCACGUCGUCGCAGAUGCUGACGACAAAUCAGAGCCAACACCAGAGUAGUAGCAGCACCAGUACUAGCACGAGCAGCAGCAGCAGCAGCAGCAGCAGCAGCAGGGUGGCCAAGUCCUCGCAGAGGAUUCUCACCUCGUCUUCGUCGAGUGAGAUGAAGGCGAGCUCCAUGAAGAGCGACCUGACGGAGCUCAAGCGCGGCAUCUCGGAGAUGAAGAACAUCUCGACCAACUUUUCACAACGGCUGCGCAGCAGCAUGGAGAACCUCGUGGACAGAGAUGGCAGUGGAUCAGAGGAGACCGAUCUUACGGAGCCGCUGGUGACUUUUCCGGAUCCGGACACGCCGCCACCUGUCAGCGAUGCUGUCACGCUGGCGGGCGGCUCUCCGUCCCAGUUGAGUUCCCUGAAUUCGCUGAACAAUCUUCAUCACAGCAUAAGUCCGCCGAUAAACAUACCGAACAUGGCGAACUUACCUGCCGGUCAGGAAACUAUGAAGUUCGAGCAGAAGAAAAUGACCAGCGCCUCAAAAACAAAGGUCGUCACGGACGGAUUCAGCGCCGAGAAGGCGACGGCGAACAGUGCGGAGAUGAGGGCCCUGCAAGCCGGCGACGUCUCGUACAAGGAGCAGAGCGCCGCGACGGCGGCGAGGGCGCGCGUCGAGCUGGACGGCGUCUCGGCGGAGAAGAGCGUCGCUGCUGCAAGGGAGCAGAGAAGCUUGAAGGCUGGUGAUCUCUCGCAUCAGGAGAGCAACAACAUGGCAGCAUCCACUAUGAAGCUUCAGAGCGACUCUUUUACCUCCGAGAAGAAAGCGAUGGCAGCGCAACAGCAACGACAGACAGUCACCUCGACCGGCAUCUUCAACCACGAGAAGCACAUGGCCUCGAGCUCGCAGUCGAGCAUCACGAUCGCGUCCAAGUCGGGCGUGAGCUCAUCCAAAUCGAUGAUUAGCGCGGCAAGCGCGGUUAAUCAGCUGAUGAACGGCAUGCGACCGCCGACGGCCGAGGACGAGCUGUUAUCCUUACCGUUGGACGACCUGGACCUGCUGUGCUCCAAGUCGAAUCCGCAGGACGUGGACUGCGCGAUCGCCAAGUACUGCAGUCUGCUCGACAGCUUCGUGGAGCGGCUGAAGGCAAGCGCCGACAGCGGCAAGAGUAGCAGCAGCGGCAGUAAAGCGCCGCAGCUGUUGAACAGAGUGAACGAGAUCAUCCGAAAGGCAUGGGCGGUGCCGACGCACGGCCACGAGCUGGGUUACACCCUGUGCAACACCCUGAGGACGCGUGGCGGUCUCGAUCUGCUCAUGUCGAACUGCGUCGUGAACGAUCACGAGCUACAGUUCUCGUCGGCCAGACUACUGGAGCAAUGCCUGACGACGGAGAACCGCGCCCACGUGGUGGAGAACGGCCUGGAGAAGGUGGUGAACGUGGCGUGCGUGUGCACGAAGAACGCCAACUCGGUGGAUCACGCGCGCGUCGGCACCGGGAUACUCGAGCAUCUGUUCAAGCACAGCGAGGGCACCUGCAGCGACGUCAUCAGGCUGGGCGGACUGGACGCGGUGCUGUUUGAGUGCCGGAAGAACGACGUGGAAACUCUACGCCACUGCGCGGGCGCGCUGGCGAACUUGUCGCUGUACGGCGGCGCCGAGAACCAGGAGGCGAUGAUCAAGCGCAAGGUGCCGAUGUGGCUGUUCCCGCUUGCCUUCCACAAUGACGAUAACAUCAAGUAUUACGCCUGCCUGGCGAUUGCCGUGCUGGUCGCCAACAAGGAGAUCGAGGCGGCCGUCCUCAAGUCCGGCACCCUCGACCUAGUCGAGCCCUUCAUUACGUCACACAACCCCUACGAGUUCGCCAAGUCGAACUUGGCGCACGCUCAUGGUCAGAGUAAGAACUGGCUGGAGAGGCUCGUGCCGGUCCUGAGCUCGAAGCGGGAAGAGGCUCGCAAUCUGGCAGCUUUCCACUUCUGCAUGGAAGCGGGUAUCAAGAAGCAACAAGGCAACACCGAUAUCUUCCGGACGAUCGGCGCGAUCGAGCCGUUGAAGAAAGUGGCCAGUUGCCCGAACGCGAUCGCGUCCAAGUACGCGGCGCAGGCCUUAAGAUUGAUCGGCGAGGAAAUCCCGCAUAAACUCAGCCAACAAGUGCCCUUAUGGUCCACCGAGGACGUUCGAGAAUGGGUGAAGCAGAUCGGUUUCGCCGAGGUAGCACCGAACUUCGUGGAAAGCCGUGUGGAUGGCGAUCUGCUGCUGCAGCUGACGGAGGAGAAUCUGCGCGAGGAUAUCGGCCUGACCAACGGUAUCAUGCGCCGCAGGUUCGCCCGCGAGCUGCAGAAUCUGAAGAAGAUGGCCGAUUACAGCAGCCGCGACACCGGUAACCUGAACAGCUUCCUGCAGUCGAUCGGCCAGGAGUUCUCCAUCUACACGUACAGCAUGCUGAAUGCCGGCGUGGACAAGGACUCGAUACGCAAUCUGUCGGAGGACCAGCUGCUGAGCGAGUGCGGCAUCACCAACAGUAUCCAUCGGCUCAGGAUACUCGACGCCAUCAAGAACAUGCAGCACAAUCAGUUCAGCUCGUGCGAGUACGAGUCGCCCGACAAGUCCCUCGACGUCUUCGUCAGUUACCGCAGAUCGAACGGCUCGCAAUUGGCGAGUUUGCUUAAGGUGCAUCUGCAGCUGCGCGGCUUCUCGGUGUUCAUCGAUGUCGAGAGGCUCGAGGCCGGCAAGUUCGACAACAACCUGUUGCAGAGCAUCAGGCAGGCCAAACACUUCCUCCUCGUGCUCACGCCCCAGGCUCUGGAGAGGUGUAUACAGGACAGCGAGUGCAAGGAUUGGGUGCACAGGGAGAUCGUUGCCGCAUUGCAAUCGCAAUGCAACAUAAUUCCAAUCAUCGACAACUUUCAAUGGCCGGAACCUGAGGAACUUCCUGAGGACAUGCGAGCGGUCUGCCACUUCAACGGUGUCCGCUGGAUUCACGACUAUCAAGACGCUUGCGUAGACAAGUUAGAAAGGUUUAUGCGAGGCGAGAUACCUAUGAGAGCUGAUCUGUCUGGCGGAAUUCCGCGCAGCAUGGCUCCCAAGGACGUGACCCAGCCGAGCACACCGGCUAACACCAACAUGCGGCAGCCGCCCAACUAUCAGCGAAUGCACAGCAACGAAAGCAGGGGCAGCGACAAGGAUUCUACGGGCGGGCGAGACUGACUAGACGGCCCGCCCACAGCCAUAUCGAGCAGCCAAGAUUGCGAAUCGCUCUAUGACAAUCAUGACUAGACUUAGAAAGUCGUCGAGUCCAUCCCGUUGGUUGAUGGGCCUGCCGCCCACGUCGCCGCGCUUCAAGUUCA